rnacentral:rRNA from 15 species
CACCAAUAGACUAAGGUUUCCUGAUCAACGCUAAUCGGAUCAGGGUUAGUCGGGACCUAAGGCGAACCCGAAAGGGGUAGUCGAUGGACAACAGGUUAAUAUUCCUGUACCAGCUAAUAUUGCGAUGGGGUGACGAAGUAGUGAAAGGUCUGCGUACUGACGGAAAUGUACGUUAAAGAGUGUAGGUAUUGGAACCAUAGGUAAAUCCGUGGAUCUA